UACGGAGGGUGCGAGCGUUGUUCGGAAUUACUGGGCGUAAAGGGCGCGUAGGCGGCUUCGAUAGUCGGGUGUGAAAUGCCUGGGCUCAACCCAGGAACUGCACUCGAAACUUCGAGGCUAGAGUAUGGGAGAGGAUAGUGGAAUUCCCAGUGUAGAGGUGAAAUUCGUAGAUAUUGGGAAGAACACCGGUGGCGAAGGCGGCUAUCUGGACCAUAACUGACGCUGAGGCGCGAAAGCGUGGGGAGCAAACAGG
rnacentral:rRNA from 1 species